CCUUGUACACACCGCCCGUCACACCAUGGGAGUGGGUUGCUCCAGAAGGCGUUAGUCUAACCGCGAAGGGGGACGACGCCCACGGAGUGGUUCAUGACGUGGGGUGAAGUCGUAAACAAGGUACC
rnacentral:rRNA from 1 species